AGUCGAUGGAUGGACGAAAAAAAAACCACCUGCUGCCGCCGUCGUCGCUGUCGCCGGUGCUGCUGCCGCGGUGGUGGGGGUUGUUUGCCGCCGCCGGGUGGAACGAGCCGUGCGGCGUGGUAGGGAUGGCAAACAGAUAUUCAAUUUCAAGAUGCUAACGGUGGUGACCUUCAUGUUGUAGGAGCUAAGCUCCGCGAGGGUCAGUGUUGACAUACGAUGAGGGAGUUGUGAGCGAAGACAGCAAGGGACAGAUUCGAGCCCCAAUGCGGCUGCCCCAUAUUAUAAUAUAAAUAUAUAUGUAAUAAUAAUAAGUACUUAAGUAAAAAAAAAAUAAUGGUUGUUAUUAUAAAUUAUAAUUAUUAUUAAAUAUUUGUAAAAGAAUUUACAAAUCAAUAAAAGUGUAAUAGAAAAAAUAGGUAAA